rnacentral:rRNA from 1 species
CCUACGGGAGGCUGCAGUGAGGAAUAUUGGUCAAUGGUCGGGAGACUGAACCAGCCAAGCCGCGUGAGGGAUGAAGGUACAGAGUAUCGUAAACCUCUUUUGUCAGGGAACAAAGGCGGGGACGUUUCCCCGGAUGAGUGUACCUGAAGAAAAAGCAUCGGCUAACUCCGUGCCCGCCGCCGCGGUAAUACGGAGGAUGCGAGCGUUAUCCGGAUUUAUUGGGUUUAAAGGGUGCGCGGGCGGUCUGUUAAGUCAGCGGUCAAAGUCCGGGGCUCAACCCCGGCCCGCCGUUGAAACUGGCAGUCUCGAGUUGGAGAGAAGUAUGCGGAAUGCGCGGUGUAGCGGUGAAAUGCAUAGAUAUCGCGCAGAACUCCGAUUGCGAAGGCAGCAUGCCGGCUCCACACUGACGCUGAGGCACGAAAGCGUGGGUAUCGAACAGGAUUAGAUACCCGAGUAGUC